rnacentral:RNase_P_RNA from 1 species
UAAGUCAGCUGGGCAAUCGCGCGUGCGGUGAUACCGCAUCCGAGGAACGUCCGGGCUCCAUAGGGCACGGUGGUGGGUAACGCCCACCCGGGGUGACCCGCGGGAAAGCGCAACAGAGAGUAGACCGCCAGGCGCAGUAGCGCAAGGUAAGGGUGAAACGGUGGUGUAAGAGACCACCGCGGGCAUGGUGACAUGACUGGCACGGCAAGCCCCACCGGGAGCAAGAUCAGAUAGUGCGCGUUUGUAGGUGACCCGCCGAGCGCACGGGUGGAUUGCUAGAGCCUGCUGGUAACAGUAGGCGUAGAUGGAUGAUUGCCGCCGUGGGCGCAACAGCGCUCGCGGAACAGAACCCGGCGUACAGGCUGACUUAUUCG